rfam:Brachypodium distachyon strain Bd21 chromosome 3, whole genome shotgun sequence.
AAACUACUCCCUCCGUCCCAUAUUAAGUGACUUUCUAUUACAUGUAUAUAGACACUUUUUAGGCAGAAAUAAAUCCAUAUUUGGACAAAUUUGAGUCACUUAAUAUGGGACGGAGGGAGUACAUG